rnacentral:rRNA from 1 species
CGUCUACAUUAGAUACCCCCGUAGUCCCAGCCGUAAACUAUGCGCGUUAGGUGUAUCGGUGACCACGAGUUACCGAGGUGCCGAAGGGAAACCGUGAAACGUGCCGCCUGGGAAGUACGGUCGCAAGGCUGAAACUUAAAGGAAGUGGCGGGGGAGCACAACAACGGGUGGAGCCUGCGGUUUAAUUGGACUCAACGCCGGACAACUCACCGGGGACGACAGCAAUAUGUAGGCCAGGCUGAAGACCUUGCCUGAAUCGCUG